UAAUAAGUGUUUUAUGGCACUUUUUAAAUCCAUAUCCACCUUGUGUGCAAUGUCAGUCGAUCUUCUUCACGGAGAUCGACCAAACAUCAACCUUUAUCUUUUAACUCUUUGUCUGAAAAAUAUUAUGAAUAAACAAUUCAAAAUA
rnacentral:misc_RNA from 1 species